CCUUAUUGAGAGCGGUGGAGGGACUAGGCCCAGUGAAACCCGGCAACCCCUGUACAUGGAGUAUGGAAGGUGCCAAAUCCUACAGAUUUUUAUCUGAAAGAUGAGG
rnacentral:ncRNA from 1 species